rnacentral:rRNA from 1 species
UGGGAUGAGCUCACCAUGGGAAUCGGGGUCCUCGACCUUGAAUUGUAGUCUUGAGACGCACUGCCAACAAAGGCGCAGGUGUAAGCCUCUUGGAAGAGAGCAUCGCAGAGGGUGAGAGUCCCGUCUGUCACCUGCAGCCCCUUGUGUACGGCAUGCGUUCUGAGAGUCACGUUCCUCGGGAUUGGAGCGCAAAUUGGGUGGUAAGUUUCACCUCAAGCUAAAUAUUGGUCCGAGACCGAUAGCAAACAAGUACCAUGAGGGAAAGGUGAAAAGGACUUUGAAAAGAGAGUUAAAAGUGCUUGAAAUUGCUGAAAGGGAAGCGAAUGGAACCAGUUCUGCUGGGCGAGAUUGUCGCAUGCCAAGGCCUCGUGCCGGCCGCAUGCGGUGCUUCUUGCCUUGUGUGUCAGCUGCGGUCCGAAGUCGGGGAAAACUCUGGGGACAUGGAUGCCAACCUCCGGGGGGGUGAAUGUGCCUGGCAAGACCCGUCCUCGGACCGUGAGCAGUGCUUCGGCAUGUUUGCGGUGCUGACGAAAUGCUUCUAUUCGACCCGUCUUGAAACACGGACCGAGGAGUCUAACAUGUGUGCGAGUUCACGGGUGUCAAACCUGCUUGCGCAAUGAAAGUGACUGCUGGGAUACUUGCACCAGCAACCGAUCUGUCAACCGAGAGAGAUUUGAGUUUGAGCAUACCUGUUAGGACCCGAAAGAUGGUGAACUAUGCUUGUGUAGGGCAAAGCCAGGGGAAACUCUGGUGGAGGCUCGUAGCGAUACUGACGUGCAAAUCGUUCGUCAAACAUGAGUAUAGGGGCGAAAGACUAAUCGAACCAUCUAGUAGCUGGUUCCCUCCGAAGUUUCCCUCAGGAUAGCUGGAGUUGAACAGUUUUAUCAGGUAAAGCGAAUGAUUAGAGGAAUCGGGGACGUGUUGUCCUCGACCUAUUCUCAAACUUUAAAUGGGUAAGAUCCAACAGUUGCUUAAUUGAACUGUUGGGGCAAAUGUGAACUCUAAGUGGGCCAUUUUUGGUAAGCAGAACUGGCGAUGAGGGAUGAACCUAACGUUGGGUUAAGGUGCUUAACUGCUCGCUCAUCAGAUACCAUAAAGGGUGUUGGUUCAUUUUAACAGCAGGACGGUGGUCAUGGAAGUCGAAAUCCGCUAAGGAGUGUGUAACAACUCACCUGCCGAAUGGACUAGCCCCGAAAAUGGAUGGCGCUCAAGCGGGUGACUGAUACCCAACCAUUGUUGCAAUUGUGCGGCAUCAAUGAGUAGGAGGGCAUGGGGGCCUGUGAUGAUGCUUUUGGCGUAAGC